GUGGGGAAUAUUGGACAAUGGGCGAAAGCCUGAUCCAGCAAUGCCGCGUGAGUGAAGAAGGCCUUAGGGUUGUAAAGCUCUUUUACCCGGGAUGAUAAUGACAGUACCGGGAGAAUAAGCUCCGGCUAACUCCGUGCCAGCAGCCGCGGUAAUACGGAGGGAGCUAGCGUUGUUCGGAAUCACUGGGCGUAAAGCGCACGUAGGCGGCUUUGUAAGUUAGAGGUGAAAGCCCGGGGCUCAACUCCGGAACUGCCUUUAAGACUGCAUCGCUUGAAUCUGGGAGAGGUGAGUGGAAUUCCGAGUGUAGAGGUGAAAUUCGUAGAUAUUCGGAAGAACACCAGUGGCGAAGGCGGCUCACUGGACCAGAAUUGACGCUGAGGUGCGAAAGCGUGGGGAGCAAACAGGAUUAGAAACCCGGGUAGUCC
rnacentral:rRNA from 1 species